rnacentral:lncRNA from 1 species
AUGGGGGUGCUUGCCGCGGCGGGGCAGGGGUUUGCAUGGGGGCAGCCACAGCGUCCCGUCCCCCCCCCCGGAGCCUGCACCCCGGGCACGCAGGCUGCACGCCGUCCCGGCUGGUUUGGGUCCGUGGCUCGUAGCCGUGUGGUCCUUUUGCCGGCGCCGUGGCCCCGUGCCGGGGCUUCCCCCCCGUGCCCCCGCGGCACGCGGAGCCGCCCGCACCUCCCUCCGGGGCUUCGCCCAGCAGCGCGGCACUCAGCCGAGGGGCCCCGGCGGCAGCUCCGACCCCGAACCUUGCCGUCUCCCCCCGCUUUGCCCCGCUCUGUCCCCAGCCGUGGCCCCACGGCCUCCGGGAAGCUGCCGAGCACCCUCCCGCGCCCGCAUCCUGCUGCCCCUUCCCGGGCACAGCUCCCUGGGGGCCCUGGGCGGGGGCACGGAGUGGGGAGCCCCGGGUGCCAUCUGCGGGAGCCCAGGUGGCCGCCCGAGACGUGCCAUCUGCCGAGCCACCUUCGGGGACCGUGCAGGCGCUGCUGUAUUUUUAGGACGCRUUUCCUCCCUCCCACCUGCAACCCGGAGCAGCCUUUCGGUUUUCUAACAAGUUGUUUCUCUUGCCUCGGGCUGCUCUGCCCAAGCGGCUGUGGGAGAGAGACCCCAGUCCCCAGCUGGCCGGGGGGGGCACGGGCUGAUGACAGCGGAGGGGGGCUCAGCACCAUACCGAGGGGGGGUCAUGCCAUGCAGAGAGCAGGCCGGGGCAGAUGCGUCGCUGCACGGGGCAGGAAGCCCCUCCGGCUCGUGCAUUGCUCUGCAUGGUGCUCAUGCUGCAGCUGCAAUUUGGGACCAGCRGCUGGGAAUGUCCCCGUCCCCGUGGCCAUCCCCAGAGGCCAGCGGGGCUGUGGGUCUGCAGCAGCAGGGAUGAGCCCGUGCCAUUGCACCGUCCUGGUUGCACAUGCGCCAUCCAUGCUGCGCCGUGCUGUGCUGCGCCGAGCUGUGCUGCGCUGUGCUGCCCAUGCCAUGCCGGGCUGCUCACGCCGUGCUGCACCGGGACAGCCGCGCCGUGCCGUGCCGUGCCGUGCUGGCCAUGCAGGACCAUGCUGCCCGGCGCUGCCCAUGCCGUGCUGCAGCGCGCUGGCCCCUCGCGGUGAGGAAGUGAAGCCAGCGCGAAGGGGAAGU